rnacentral:lncRNA from 1 species
UUUGAUUCGAGAUGUUAGGGUUUUGGAUUGUGGCGUUUUGGCUGAGAUUUAGGGUUUUGGUUUGUUCGGUUUUCUGUGAUUUUGAACAGAUGCAGUGCUGGAAAAAGGAUUUGUCUAUUAAUUAAUAUCUUUAAUCACUAACGAUCAAAUCAAGCUUAAUCACAGUAUAUGCUAAAACGAUAUCGUUAGUAAAAUUUAUUAAGUGUCGC